UACAGAGGGUGCGAGCGUUGUUCGGAAUUAUUGGGCGUAAAGGGCGCGUAGGCGGUGCGGUAAGUCACCUCUGAAAUCUCCUGGCUCAACUGGGAGCUUGCAGGCGAAACUGCCGUGCUGGAGUGUGGGAGAGGUGCGUGGAAUUCCUGGUGUAGCGGUGAAAUGCGUAGAUAUCAGGAGGAACACCUGUGGCGAAAGCGGCGCACUGGACCACAACUGACGCUGAGGCGCGAAAGCUAGGGGAGCAAACAGG
rnacentral:rRNA from 1 species